rnacentral:pre_miRNA from 1 species
CAACUACUCCUUCCGUCCGGAAAUACUUGUCAUCAAAAUGGAUAAAAGGAGAUGUAUCUAGACGUAUUUUAGUUCUAGAUACAUCUCUUUCUAUUCAUUUUGAUGACAAGUAUUUUCGGACGGAGGGAGUAAUAC